UACGUAGGUGGCAAGCGUUGUCCGGAUUUACUGGGCGUAAAGAGCGCGCAGGCGGUCGUACAAGUCGCGUGUGAAAGCCCCCCGGCUCAACUGGGGAGGGUCACGCGAUACUGUUCGACUCGAAGGCAGGAGAGGGAAGCAGAAUUCCCGGUGUAGUGGUGAAAUGCGUAGAUAUCGGGAGGAAUACCAGUGGCGAAGGCGGCUUCCUGGCCUGUUCUUGACGCUGAGGCGCGAAAGCUAGGGUAGCAAACGGGAUUAGAAACCCG
rnacentral:rRNA from 1 species